rnacentral:lncRNA from 1 species
UCAAAACAGUUUACAGUAAGUUUGCUUCACCUUUUUAUAUAAAAUUGAAACUGUUGAUGUUUUAGAGAGACAAGGGGGAGGGAGGAGGAGAAAGAGGAACAAAUUAGAAAGGAAGGUGGAAGGAUGAGAGAGGAGGGGAGAGUGGGAGAUAGUGAAGAUAGAGAAAGACAGUAGAAGGAAGCAUGUUUUGGGGGUUUUCAAAAAAGGGAAAGAAAAGAAAAUAGUUUGAGAGGGAGGGGGAAGUAAAGGAGGCAUGGCUUUUGUAUCACUGUGGUCAGACACUUGUUUGAUUAGGAUUCAAUAUGUUGUUUUUUUCCCCACUUAGUGACCUUUUGGGUGGGGUAGAUAAGAAAUUUUUGUAUUCAAGUGAUCAAAGAUUUUAAUUGGAAGACCAGAUGUUGUUUUUGAUUUUCUCCAGUAAGAACUAUAAUUGCAUCUCAAGGCCUUGUUUUUUAAUUCUUUUGUGUAUAAAGGGAGAGAAUGGUUGUAUGGAUGUGGUCAAUUUUUUUUUAAUUAAAAUUUCAGAUGUUGUUUUUGAUUUAGCUGUGUAUGGCUGUGUUUUUGAAAGAGUGAUUUUUAAAUGAGUAUAGUUAUGAUUUUAAAUACAAUCUGAAAAAAGUUUAAGUGUGGUAAAGUGUUUCUCAAUUAUUAUUUAUAUGAUCUGAAUUUCUUUAAAAAAAUCAUAAAUAUGAUCUGAAUCUAAAAUAAUGGGAAGGGGGAAAAAUCUAAAUGUCAAUGAAAAUAAACCUUUCUUAAGUGAAUAUAUUCACAAUUAUAAAUGCUAUCUAAAUCACACACACACACACACACACACACACACACACACACACACACACACACACACACACACACACACACACACACACACACACACACACACACACACACACACACACACACACACACACACACACACACAUGCACACACAUAUUGUAUAUUCUUUCACUUGUUUCAGUCAUUUGACAAUGCUGGAGCACCACCUUAAAGGGCUUUAGUUGAAGAAAUUGACCCCAGGAUUUAUUCUUUGUAAGCUUAGUACUUACUCUAUUGGUCUCAUGCUGAACUGCAUCAGUUGUCAAACAAUGGUGGGGAGACAAACACAGACACACAUACACAUGUAAAUAUAUAUACAUAUAUGAUGGGGGGGGGGGUCUUUCAGUUUCUGUUAAGCAAACCCACCCACAAGGCUUUGGUUGGCUCAAAGCUAUAGUAAAAGACACUUGCCCAAGCUUCCACACAAUGGGACUGAACACAGAACCAUGUGGUUGGGAUAUGUAUGUAUGUAUGUAUGUAUGUAUGUAUGUAUAUAUAUAUAUAUAUAUAUAUAUAUAUAUAUAUACAUACAUAUAUUUUUUAAUAAUAUAUUAUUAAAAAAUAUAUGUAUAUAUCACUCAUAUUAAAUACUAGCAUUAUGACCCAUCGUUGCAGGUCAUAGUGCUAGUGCAUGUAUAUAUGUGUAUAUAUAUGUGUGUACAUAUUACAUGUACAUCUAUAUAUAUACAUCUACACAUAAAAUACAAAAUACAAAGUUAUAUCUUGAUAUCGCUAGUGAUAACAAUACUCAAAAUAUAUAACAGACUGGAAUUGUAGGCCUGUCUCUUGCAAUUUUGAUCAAUUGUAUCUUGUCCUCCCUCUUGUAUAGAAGUGUGGCUACAAUCCAGCCUACCUCUACUGCUGGGAAGGGGACAUUUUAAAUUUUUAUCCAGGACGUCCUACAUCCCAGAUAUAAAGGUAAAAGUAAAAUAUUUCCACUUUGCAAGGUUCAAGUCGAGUACUCCCUUGCAUGCUCCGUUGACUUAAACCUUGCUUCUAUUGUGGCGAAUUUACCGUCUCUGGUUAGAUAUCUUUCAUAGUCACACCAAGACACUUUUCGAUGGUGCUUUCCUCCAGGUGUUCAAAUCUUUUUUCUCUACAUUGUAUACUUUAUAGACAAUAGUCUUUUCUUUAAUUUAACUUUUUAUUUCGUUUGGUGGUGUUAUCCUAGAUUCACUGUCUUUGUUGGUGAUCAAUCCGAAAUAGGUUUGUAUUUCUUCCAUUUUAAUUUUAAUGAGUUUGUGCCCGCCGACAGCUGCAGCGAAAUUCAUUUUUGGACUUUCUUCUAUUGAAGGCAUUCUAACAAAAAUGCUUCCGUAUAAAUGGUGAAAAUAUUGUCAGUUUCCCCAAACAGGGACACAAUUUAAUUUUUAAGCAAUAAUCAAAGCUCCUUCUCCCAAAGGGGAAGUGUUACAGUUUACAAUUAUUUAACAAAUGCAACACUACAACGCUUCCCUUACGAGGAACCAACAAACGUGAUAACAAUAGUUAAACAGUAAUAAUAAUAACAACAAACCUUACGGUGAAUCAAAAAGCAGUACGCAGUUGAAGCUAUAGUCCUUUAUGUAUAAGAAAUAAACCAACAGCAGUACUCAGUAGAAGCGGCUGUUCGAGAAAACAGACAUUGCAUACAGCCAAACUUCAUAUAGAUACUUAAUGCUAGCUAAUUAACAGAUAAUCUAAUGUAAAAGCCAUGGUAAACGGUAUGUGCACAGCUCCAUCUGGACUAUUCCAUUUCUGAAUGCUAGUUUUAUUUUUAAUUUAUUCCCAUUCAUGUGAAACCACUUAUUCAAGUUCAAGUCAUUGAUGCAAUUUUAUACCAAUUGCUAUUUUUACUUUUGUUAUGUUACGAUUAUAUUAUACUUUAGUUUGAUUUUAAUUAUUACUUACUACAUAUAAUUCAAUUGUUAUUAUUAUCUCUAAUUUUUAUUGUUAAAGUGAAAGUAUCUGACAUAAAAUAGAGAAAUGUUUUUGUUUCACUUUUAACACGUAAUACUGAAAUAAUGGAGAAGAUAUGAUAUUGCUGGGCUCGCUCUAGGCAAGAAGUUGAACAUUUUUUUUGCCCAUGAAACUACAUGGACCCUAAGUAAGGCAUGUGUAAAAUUUGAAUGAAAUUGGUUGUGUAGUUCUCAAGUUUUAGGGAAACACACAGACAGACACACAUUCUCAGUUUUAUAUAUAUAUAUAGAUAUAAAUACUUUAAUAGUAUUAAUAUUAUUUUAUACAAUGGAGCACUUAAUAUAAAUUCAGUAUAUAAUAUUCUUAUUGAAUAUAUUUACCUAAUGAUUUAUAUAUAUAUAUUUAAAAAAUGAGUUUAAAGGGAUAUACCAUAUUUUCUCUCAAGCCAGUUUCAGAUGCUGGCUAACCACAGCAGUCUCUAUGUAGUAUUUGAGUUUACAGCAGUGUAUGUUAUUGGCUUAUCAAGUAUCUGUCUGGUGAACAGAAGGAUUGUAGACCUAUUUGUCAACAACGUGCUACCACUGCAUGUAGUAGAAUCCCCAACCUUUGACAGCCUGAUCAAGUUGCUGAACCCCAGCAAGACAUUGAUGUCCCACCGCACCUAAGUAAGGACAAUCUUAGCCAGCCAUAAACAGCUGGAAGAGUAUCUUACAAGGUAUUUAUAAAUUAAAACUAUGCAAAUUUAUUUUUAUAGCGUACUUCAUAUUUUCUUAAUUUAAUUUAAUUAUUUAAUUAUUUAUUAAAUAAUUAUUUUCUUAAUUAAUGUAAUAAAAUGUAUAAUAGCUAAUUGAAUAAAUGUCACGAUAUAUAAUAUAUGGUAUAUAUUUAUUUCACUCAUGAUUAAGUUCACCAAGUAUUAAACCGCCAUCCCACCAGUGCUGCAGUUGAGCACCUAUUCUCUAUAGGCAAAGAUAUUUUGAGGGCCAAGAGAGCCACCCUAGACUGAUGUGUAUGAAGGGUAACCAGAAUCAUGUUGAAGCAAUGGAUAAGGCCCAGCCUUGAUCAUCAUCUGAUCUUGGCAUGAUAUCUAUGCUAUGCUACUGGGUUGGCAACAAGUCAUUUUUUUCAUACAGAGAAUGCACUUUAAUCACUUGUAUAUUUUCCAUUUUGUUCGAUGAUCUUUUGCCAUCUUUCUGGUAACUUCAGGAUUCUGCGCUCAUGGAACUUCUGGCCCUUAUCAGCCCAAAACUGAAGCAAGUGUGAUUUCAAGUCAUCAUCAUUAUUGAAAGAUUUACAAUUCAAAGAAUUUUGAAAACUUUGAAAUAAAUGGUAAUCUGAUGGUGCUAUAUGGUGGAUGUGACAUCACUUCCCAACCAAGCUCCAAUAAUUUUUCAUGAGUUAGCAAAGAUGUGUGUGGUCUAGCAUUGUCAUGGUGGAACAUAAUUUCUUUAUUAUUUGCCAAUUCUGGCCAUUUUUCUUUGAUUGCUUCCUCCAGUUUCAUUAGUUGUUGACAGUAAACAUCUGAAUUGAUCGUUUCCUUCCUUAGAAGCAGCUCAAAAUACACAACACCUUUGUAAUCCCACCAAAUUGACAGCAUGACCUUUUUUUGAUGCAAUUCAGCUUUCGAUGUAGUUUGUGCUGGUUCAUUACGCUUGGACGAUAAUUGUUUUUGGUUGAUGUUAUUGUAGACGAUCCAUUUUUCAUCACCAGUGAUGAUUCAUUUGAAAAAAGGUCAAUUUCAUUGUGUUUGGGAUGCAUAUUGCAAAUAUUUAUUUGUUGUGUUAAGUGAAUCUCUUUCAAUUUAUGUGGUGCCCAAAUAUCUUAACAAGUCCAAAACAUUUGAAGUGAUUUUCAAUUGUUGUGUGUGAUACAUUUAACCUGACUGCAAUCUCUCACGCAGUUAUAUGACAACCAGAUUCAAUUAUGACUUUGAUUCAGUCAUCAUUAACUUCAAUAGGUCCCAGAACAUUGGUAAUCUUUGAAAAAUCCCCAGAAUGGAACUUUUUGAACCAUUUUUGGCAUGUGCUUUCUGUUAAGCAAUAAACACCAUAAACUUCACAUAUUUCUUUGUGAGCUUCAGCAGCUUUUUUUCCUUUAUGGAAAUAAAAAAGCAAAAUAUGGCGAAAAUGUUCGUUUUUGCACUCCAUGAUAAAAUUGACACUGAACAAACAGUUGUAAACAAAAUUACAUGCAAUUUACUUCUAAAGUAAGCUAAAAGUAAUGGUUAUCAAAUGUCAAAGGAAAAAAUCAUAGUGUUGACAAAAGUCAUUCAAAAAAAUCGUAACUGUCUAUUUGUAAGAAACAAAAUUAAUUUCUUGCCAACCCAAUAUACCAUUUUGAUUUGUUUAGGCACAUAGGCACAGGUGUGACUGUAUGGUAAGAAGCUUGUUUCCAACCACUUGGUUCUGGGUUCAGUCCCACUGCAUGACACCUUGGGCAAGUGUCUUCUACUAUAUUUAUACUUGUGUAGCAAGACUACACCUAUUCCAUACUCCAAAGCAUCAAACACUACAACAAUGUCCAUUCUAGGAUCGAAAUGUGCUAGUGACAAAUCAGAAAUUAGUAUUUUCUUUGUCUUCGAAUGUGUUUUGGCACUUUACUGACCAAUCCUAUUUUACUUAUUUUUUAGUAAAUUGUUUAAUGGUGCUCUCAAUUUAUGUAUAUUUGGAAUGUACUGUUGAUAGUAAUUUACUAGGCCAAGGAAAGCUUGUAAUGUUGGUAUAUUCAUUGGAGAAGGCAUAUUCUUGAUUGUGUCUGCCCUCAAUGGGUCAGAACAUCUUUCAUUCUUAUCUAUGAUUUGACCUAGGUAUUUGAUAUUUUGGCAAAAAUAAUUCACACUUCUCUUCACUGAGUGUGAAACCGUAAUCCUUAAUUUUUUUUAAAAUGCACCUCAUGUUUUUGAUAUGCUCAUUCCAUGAUUAACUUUUGAUUAAUAUGUCAUCAAGGUAAGGAAUAGCAAAUUGACAGUCUGCCAACAUUGCUUCCAUCAUCUGUUGAAAUAUUGCAGGUGCUACCUUCAGUCCAAAAGGUAGUCUAUUGUAUUUGUAUAGACCUCUGUGCAUGUUGACCAUUAACACCUUUGAGCAUUUUUUAUCUACUUUGAUUUGUAGAUAUGCGUCAGACAGACAGAGUUUUGGAAAUAUUUUUCUCCGUUUAGUUUUGUGAAAAUCUCUUCUGAGGUCAGUAGCGGAUAAUGAUUCAUUUUUAAACAGUCAUUUAAACUGGUCGUAAAACUGACACACAACCUAAUUUUGUUAUUUUAUACAUACAGUCGGAGCUGUCUAUUUUGCAUAAUCCACUUUUACAAUGAUUCCAUUUUUCGCCAAUCUAUCCAACUCAUCAUCCACUUGCUUUAUUGCCACAAAAAGCACUUUUCUGUUAGGCUUGAACACAGGUGUAACAUUAUCAUCUAAUUCUAAACAUGCUUUAGUCUUUGUGCAUAGACCUAGUUUGUCUGAGAGUACUUACGGAAACAUUUAAAAAAAUUUUCUCUUUAACUCUUCAGACAAAUUAUUUUUAGAGGGACAACCAUCUAUAUUUUUAUGAUAGAGAUUUAUGGGGAGGUCCCAUAAAUCGAAUAAUUCUAACCAAUUGGUACCAAACAGAUUGGUUGCAUUUUUAAUGACAAAGACUUUCGCCUUUCAAGUUUUUCCUCAAAAUGUGACAUUAGUCUACAUUUUGCCUAUGAAAUGUAAUUUGUUGCCCGUCAUGUUAUGAGCAGAUUUUGCUGUUUUUCUCAACAUAGGUUUCCUUAUUUUCUUCCACGUCUCAAUAUUUAUUAUUGAAAUAUCACUUCCAGUAUCCAAUUGAAAUUUAAUAUGUAUUCAGUUUAUUUUUAUGUGUAUGAAUUUUCUUAUUUGGGAGUCAAUUAUUGUUUCAGCUGAGAACACUCUAGGAUUUUUAAUGCUUGACCGUUGUAAUUUUGUUCUACAGUGUGAACUCUUGUGAUCAAUUUUGCAACUGUAACAUUUUUAUUGUUAAAUGGACAGUCUUGGCCCCACAUCCAUAACAUGGAUUAAGACAUGACGCUCUUUUUUGUUUGUACUUUUCUGGUCAGCAUAUCUGUAUUUUUGAGGAAUCCUUUUCUUGAAUUUUUUCUACAUUAUGUUUCAGGUUUACCAUCCUUUGGCAUUCUUAGAUUUUGGUUUGCUUGUUCCAAUUUAGACAGAAUUCUUGCCCAAAUUUCUGCAUCUUCACUUACUGUAAUGCUUUGUACAAAAGUAAGACACUUGAACAUCUCAGGUGUAAGUUCUUUGAGUUUGAAACUUUCAAAUACCUUGUUGACUGUUCUUGCGUAUGUGAUAAAAUUAUCAUUCUUUUUUUUAUUGUUAUAUUCCAACACUCCAUUCAGGUGUUAAAAGAUAAGUUUUAUCACUGAAUAUGUUAGACAGUAAAUUUUUUAGAUUUCAAGGUGAAGUCAAUCAGCAGACCAUUUAUUAUUCUUUCAGUUUUGCUAACAUUCAACCUCUAGCAAAUCGACUACAUGCUCACUUCCAUCAGGCAGUCCUGGUCAGAUGUGUCAGGGCAUAUGACCUGCUACUAUAACCACUGAACAACCAUUGCCAUUUUUGGCAGGAGAUGCCCAAUUUAUCGGAAGCCUUCCUUUUUGAUUUCUGGGGACUUUAAGUGAUUGCUCCAUCUUCUUCAGUGGUAGCACUGACUGGUCAACUCCUCCUCUGUGCAUUGCAGAGGGACAAAGUCUGCUCAAAUUUGUCUUGUAUUCUGUAAACUGUUAAUCUUGUCAAAGCUGGUCUUUGAAAUUCUUCAGUGCAUUUCUGUCUAACCAU